AAUUGAAUGGAACCACCUGGACGAUAAGGUGGUCCGCGCAGAGACAACAGAGGGCUUCAAGUCUGCCCUCCUUCACGAUUAAGCGCCUCCCUCCAGUGUGCGAAGCUGUAACAGGCCCUACACUGUAAAACAUACAGAUACAGAUACAGAAAUAAUCAUUGUAUGACAUCGUUCUUCGGAGCUAGAGAAAGUGAUGAGACAACUCAGGCUACCGAGGCUGUAUUCGAUCCAGCUCCUGUGCGUCGGGUGCCAGCCACCAGUAUCAACAACUUCAACACCAAAACAACGGAAAACGCUGAAAGCUAAACACAAGAUUGGCUUUGAAUCUGCAUGGACAUUGACUAGACCUUGGUUAUACAACAAACACGAAUCUGAAUACUUUUCACAGAAAUAUUGAAGACAAAAUUGAUACAGCUAAUUUCAUCACAAUUAGAAUUGCUAGAUUACAUUAUAUGAAUGCUAAUUUUGCAAAAGAUAUGAAAUUAUUCAACUGAUUAAAGAAAUGAACUGUAUAA